AGGCAUCUCUACCGUCUGGAAAGAUUUAUCGGUCUGGGAUGGACUCGCGGCCUAUCAGCUUGUUGGUGAGGUAAAGGCUCACCAAGGCGACGACGGGUAGCCGGCCUGAGAGGGCGACCGGCCACACUGGGACUGAGACACGGCCCAGACUCCUACGGGAGGCAGCAGUGGGGAAUAUUGCACAAUGGGCGAAAGCCUGAUGCAGCGACGCCGCGUGAGGGAUGACGGCCUUCGGGUUGUAAACCUCUUUCAGCGA
rnacentral:rRNA from 1 species